UACGUAGGUGGCAAGCGUUGUCCGGAAUUAUUGGGCGUAAAGCGCGCGCAGGCGGUCCUUUAAGUCUGAUGUGAAAAGCCCCACGGCUCAACCGUGGAGGGUCAUUGGAAACUGGGGGGACUUGAGUACAGAAGAGAAGAGUGGAAUUCCCACGUGUAGCGGGUGAAAAUGCGUAGAGAUGUGGAGGAACACCAGUGGCGAAGGCGGCGACCUGGGCCAAUAUUGACGCUAAUGUGCGAAAGCGUGGGGAGCAAACAGG
rnacentral:rRNA from 1 species